rnacentral:rRNA from 1 species
UACGAAGGGGGCUAGCGUUGCUCGGAAUUACUGGGCGUAAAGCGCACGUAGGCGGCUCUUUAAGUCGGGGGUGAAAUCCUGGAGCUCAACUCCAGAACUGCCUUCGAUACUGUAGAGCUUGAGUUCGGGAGAGGUGAGUGGAACUGCGAGUGUAGAGGUGAAAUUCGUAGAUAUUCGCAAGAACACCAGUGGCGAAGGCGGCUCACUGGCCCGGUACUGACGCUGAGGAGCGAAAGCGUGGGGAGCAAACAGG